UACGGAAGGUCCGGGCGUUAUCCGGAUUUAUUGGGUUUAAAGGGAGCGCAGGCCGCAGGUCAAGCGUGACGUGAAAUGUAGCCGCUCAACGGCUGAGUUGAGUCGCGAACUGGCUUUCUUGAGUGAGUACGACGUCAGCGGAAUUCGUGGUGUAGCGGUGAAAUGCUUAGAUAUCACGAAGAACCCCGAUUGCGAAGGCAGCUGACGAGUCCUUUACUGACGCUAAAGCUCGAAGGUGCGGGUAUCGAAC
rnacentral:rRNA from 1 species